AGUGAACGCUGGCGGUAGGCCUAACACAUGCAAGUCGAACGGCAGCACAGUAAGAGCUUGCUCUUACGGGUGGCGAGUGGCGGACGGGUGAGGAAUACAUCGGAAUCUACUUUUUCGUGGGGGAUAACGUAGGGAAACUUACGCUAAUACCGCAUACGUCCUACGGGUGAAAGCAGGGGUUCUUCGGACCUUGCGCGAUUGAAUGAGCCGAUGUCGGUUUAGCUAGUUGGCGGGGUAAAGGCCCACCAAGGCGACGAUCCGUAGCUGGUCUGAGAGGAUGUACAGCCACACUGGAACUGAGACACGGACCAGACUCCGAGAGGAGGCAGCAGUGGGGAAGAUUGGACAAUGGGCGCAAGCCUGAUCCAGCGAUGCCGCGUGGAUGAAGAAGGCCUGCGGGUUGUAAAGCCCUUUUGUUGGGAAAGAAGAGCAGCAGGUGAAUACCCCGCUGUUCUGACGGUACCCAAAGAAUAAGCACCGGCUAACUUCGUG
rnacentral:rRNA from 1 species